GAUGAACGCUGGCGGCGUGCCUAAUACAUGCAAGUCGAGCGAACGGACGAGAAGCUUGCUUCUCUGAUGUUAGCGGCGGACGGGUGAGUAACACGUGGAUAACCUACCUAUAAGACUGGGAUAACUUCGGGAAACCGGAUCUAAUACCGGAUGAUAUUUUGAACCGCAUGGUUCAAAAGUGAAAGACGGUCUUGCUGUCACUUAUAGAUUGAUCCGCGCUGCAUUAGCUAGUUGGUAAGGUAACGGCUUACCAAGGCAACGAUGCAUAGCCGACCUGAGAGGGUGAUCGGCCACACUGGAACUGAGACACGGUCCAGACUCCUACGGGAGGCAGAAGUAGGGAAUCUUCCGCAAUGGGCGAAAGCAUGACGGAGCAACGCCGCGUGAGUGAUGAAGGUCUUCGGAUCGUAAAACUCUGUUAUUAGGGAAGAACAUAUGUGUAAGUAACUGUGCACAUCUUGACGGUACCUAAUCAGAAAGCCACGGCUAACUACGUG
rnacentral:rRNA from 1 species